UACGUAGGGUGCAGGCGUUAAUCGGAAUUACUGGGCGUAAAGCGUGCGCAGGCGGUCUUUUAAGUCAGAUGUGAAAUCCCCCGGGCUUAACCUGGGAACUGCGUUUGAAACUGAAAGGCUAGAGUGUGGCAGAGGGGGGGUGGAAUUCCACGUGUAGCAGUGAAAUGCGUAGAGAUGUGGAGGAACACCGAUGGCGAAGGCAGUCCCCUGGGCUAACACUGACGCUCAUGCACGAAAGCGUGGGGAGCGAACAGG
rnacentral:rRNA from 1 species